rnacentral:rRNA from 1 species
UACAGAGGUGGCAAGCGUUGCUCGGAAUCACUGGGCGUAAAGGGUGCGUAGGCGGGUCUUUAAGUCAGGGGUGAAAUCCUGGAGCUCAACUCCAGAACUGCCUUUGAUACUGAAGAUCUUGAGUUCGGGAGAGGUGAGUGGAACUGCGAGUGUAGAGGUGAAAUUCGUAGAUAUUCGCAAGAACACCAGUGGCGAAGGCGGCUCACUGGCCCGAUACUGACGCUGAGGCACGAAAGCGUGGGGAGCAAACAGG